rnacentral:rRNA from 1 species
UACGUAGGGAGCAAGCGUUGUCCGGAUUUACUGGGUGUAAAGGGUGCGUAGGCGGCUUUGCAAGUCAGAAGUGAAAUCUAUGGGCUUAACCCAUAAACUGCUUUUGAGACUGCAGGGCUUGAGUGAAGUAGAGGUAGGCGGAAUUCCCGGUGUAGCGGUGAAAUGCGUAGAGAUCGGGAGGAACACCAGUGGCGAAGGCGGCCUACUGGGCUUUAACUGACGCUGAGGCACGAAAGCGUGGGUAGCAAACAGG